UUCCCGAAAUGCAAUUCCUUGUAACAAACAUGCGGACGAUGGUUAGGAAGAAGGCGCUUGAAGAGAAAGGAGUUAAUAAAGUUUAUAUAAGUUAUUUAUAAAGUAAACUUUUUCAAAAGCAGUUCUUCUAAGAACUUCUCUACGACAUAAAACAAUCUUUGUAUCAAUAUUAUUGCAGUGAAUUAUUUCGACACGGAAUUAUUGCUUGGAGAGUUAUAUCAGGUACUUUAUCCAUUGUUGUGUUAAAUGCCUAUCAUUGUGAAACUGGUGAUUUUCUUCAAAAUGCAUAUGUACAUAUGGAGGUCAUGGGCAUAGGUGAAAACGUUAUAUAUCACUGUUCCUGUGAAACAUUCCACUGCUUUAGAGCCUAGUUUUGGUUCUAAUCAAAAUUUGGAUGCUUGCUGUCAUUGUAGACUUUUGAAAGAGUUAACUACGGGUGUAGUUACAUCUUCUUUCAUCAACCACAAAAAAGUACAUGAUGGAAAAUUGAUGGUGUCUCAACCUGUUAUUCAACUUGCUUCAAAAUCUGGUGUAGAUUGUUUUUCCGUCGUUGCUGACGAAAAUGUUUCCUUCUUGACGUUAUUCAACGUUAGUAGAACGUCGAAAACCAUUGUGAAGUGUCAUUCGUCUAUCUGCAAAAUGAGAGAGGGCUCACAGCGUAACAUAAAGUUACAUUCUCAAGCCAAAUAUCUUUGUCCUCAUAUAAAGAGUUCCGUAAAUGCUACAUGGAUCAAGUUACAUUAGCGAGUGCACAAGACCUGGAUGAAAACACAGAUGAUAGCAGUGGUGAGGAAGAAACGGAAGAAGACACUCUACCGAAUGAAAAGUGGGAAGCAGUUUUUGUGCCAUCACUGGCCUUUGUAACUUCGGAGCAACUUCACCUAGCCAACAGACUGUUGACGAUGAUCCUCUUAGUGAAAAUCUCCGAAAAAAUUUAAAGCAAAGAGAUGGUAAUUGGAAGCAAGAGUUUUGUGCGAAAUUGGAUGGUGCAUGCGAUUGUGGGGCUGGCUGGUCACCCGAAUAUCCAGAGGGACGGACAAUCUACUCGCAUGACACAAACCUCUAUACUGAUACUUGUGUAUUAAGAUGCAAAGUAUAUUCACGAAUGUGUAUGUCAAAAACUUGUCGAAGAAAGUCGGACGGUGCGACAGAUUCUGUAUUUCAAAUGACAACUUCGACCUGUGCUGGAUAUGAAUUAGGCUGGGAAUUUGUUUCUGCCGUUAUGAACGAAAAGAUGACAUUCAGUGGCUUUGUGUCAUGGUACAGUGAGAGAUACAAUUUUGGAUGUCUCAACAUUCAUCAAAUGGUUUUUCGCGUUGUCGUCUAGAAUGCGAAUAGAUUUUCGACAAGGAUGUCCGGGUUGUGACGAUCCUUCACUUAUCUUAGCUUGUGAUGGCACCAAAAUUGGGAUGGGCUUCAAAAAUACGUUCGUUUCACCAAUCGAAACACCGACGAAAGAUGCACCGACUGAUGUGAAACCCAGCCGUUUUGAUCGACACCUGGUGCAAUGUCAAAUGCUGAUUUGAAUAGAGCUUACGCCACUGCGAGAGUUUUUUUGCACGAGCUUUGUAACAGCAUGUUAUCAAAGUUACCGAUCAGGCAUACCAGGGAACAGCUUGCAGCCUUGUCAACUUACAUCCCACCCAGUUGUAGGGCAGCUUUCGAUACGAUGAUAAGUGACAACAUAUCUCCGAAAGUCAGUGACUCGUAUGCAACUGUUCUCCGCCUACUUUUCUAUGACGCCAGUCUUGAUAAAAUUUUAUAUUCAUGUAUGGAACAGAAGAAAGGCAAAGCCUUAUAUGAAUAAACUUAAAUUAAAAAUUAGUGGUGCUGAUCUGUAAAGUCGGUAAAUUGAAUAAAUGGAAAUGAAAAGUAA